rnacentral:rRNA from 1 species
UACGUAGGGUGCAAGCGUUAAUCGGAAUUACUGGGCGUAAAGCGUGCGCAGGCGGCUUUGCAAGACAGAUGUGAAAUCCCCGGGCUCAACCUGGGAACUGCAUUUGUGACUGCAUGGCUGGAGUGCGGUAGAGGGGGAUGGAAUUCCGCGUGUAGCAGUGAAAUGCGUAGAUAUGCGGAGGAACACCGAUGGCGAAGGCAAUCCCCUGGGCCUGCACUGACGCUCAUGCACGAAAGCGUGGGGAGCAAACAGG